rnacentral:rRNA from 1 species
UCCAGACUCCUACGGGAGGCAGCAGUGAGGAAUAUUGGUCAAUGGGCGGGAGCCUGAACCAGCCAAGCCGCGUGAGGGAAGAAGGUACAGCGUAUCGUAAACCUCUUUUGUCAGGGAACAAAGGCGGGGACUAGUCCCCGGAUGAGGGUACCUGAAGAAAAAGCAUCGGCUAACUCCGUGCCAGCAGCCGCGGUAAUACGGAGGAUGCGAGCGUUAUCCGGAUUUAUUGGGUUUAAAGGGUGCGCAGGCGGGCUGUUAAGCCGGCGGUAAAAAUUCAGGGCUCAACCCUGUCGAGCCGUCGGAACUGGCAGUCUUGAGUGGGCGAGAAGUAUGCGGAAUGCGUGGUGUAGCGGUGAAAUGCAUAGAUAUCACGCAGAACGCCGAUUGCGAAGGCAGCAUACCGGCGCCCAACUGACGCUGAGGCACGAAAGCGUGGGGAUCGAACAGGAUUAGAUACCCUUGUAA